GGGGGUGUAGCUCAGUUGGGAGAGCGCCGCGUUCGCAAUGCGGAGGUCGUCGGUUCGAUCCCGUCCACCUCCACCA
rnacentral:tRNA from 1 species